rnacentral:lncRNA from 1 species
ACCCAUCAUUGUCCAGGGGUUUGAGAGAAGGCCUUUUAUUACUGUAUUUCUUUUCCCUUUCCUCAAAGAAACCUCCACCCAGCUCGGGUGCCAGUGCAGCUGAGGACCAGCCUAAUCCUGCCACGCUCACUGCUGCAGAAGGUGCAAGGAAAGCUUUGUUACUUCGUGGGGGCUGAUGAGCAGAAGCACAAGAGGCUCAGAACUGCCGGGAGGGAGGGUUGAUCGCUACUGGAACCAGCUGUUAGCUCCAGGUGGUAGGGCUUCCCCAGGUGAGACGCGUGAUGGGCCAGGCAGGAGGCUACAAAAAGGGGCUGGAUGGCAGGUUCUUGGUUUUGGAUGGGAAAGGACCGGUGAGGAAGAUGGGGGCUGUCUUCUUUUAGCUGGGUUUUCUCCAGAGCAGCGCAGCUUUGAUUCAAAGCGUUGCAGAGAAAAGGGUGCACUGCAAAAGCGUCUGCUCUUAGAAACUUAAUGUUGUGUGAAACACUUGUAAUUGCAAGGAACGGGGCCAACAUGUCCAUCCCUAGUGACUUUACCAGGCGCAGACUGCGAUAAUUGCGGCUGUGAUUUCAGUUAAGGUAUUUUGUUAUGGGGGGGGGGGGGGGGGGGGGGGGGG